UAACACCAGCGCCACGAGUGGGGACCAGUAUUAUUGGGCCUAAAGCAUCUGUAGCCGGAUUAGUAAAUCCUUUGUGAAAUCAUGGGGCUUAACCUUAUGGCGUGCAGAGGAGACUGCUGAUCUUGAGACCGGGAGGAGUUAGAGGUAUGCACUGGGUAGUGGUAAAAUGCUAUGAUCCUUUGUGGACCACCUGUGGCGAAGGCGUCUAACUAGAACGGGUCUGACGGUGAGAGAUGAAAGCUGGGGGAGCGAUCCGGAUUAGAUACCCGAGUAGUCCCAGCCGUAAACGCUGCGAGCAAGGUGUUGCGUAUUCUACGAGAAUAUGCAGUGUCGAAGAGAAGCCGUUAAGCUCGCCGCCUGGGAAGUACGGUCGCAAGACUG
rnacentral:rRNA from 1 species